AGUGAACGCUGGCGGUAGGCCUAACACAUGCAAGUCGAACGGCAGCACAGUAAGAGCUUGCUCUUACGGGUGGCGAGUGGCGGACGGGUGAGGAAUACAUCGGAAUCUACUUUUUCGUGGGGGAUAACGUAGGGAAACUUACGCUAAUACCGCAUACGACCUACGGGUGAAAGCAGGGGAUCUUCGGACCUUGCGCGAUUGAAUGAGCCGAUGUCGGAUUAGCUAGUUGGCGGGGUAAAGGCCCACCAAGGCGACGAUCCGUAGCGGGUCUGAGAGAUGAUCAGCCACACUGGAACUGAGACACGGUCCAGACUCCUACGGGAGGCAGCAGUGGGGAAUAUUGGACAAUGGGCGCAAGCCUGAUCCAGCCAUACCGCGUGGGUGAAGAAGGCCUUCGGGUUGUAAAGCCCUUUUGUUGGGAAAGAAAAGCAGCAGGUUAAUACCCCGCUGCUCUGACGGUACCCAAAGAAUAAGCACCGGCUAACUUCGUG
rnacentral:rRNA from 1 species